ACUUCAGCUGUUCCCGAAAACCCCUGAAUUAGUAAGCUGUCACGGGUUUACUCGCAAACUGCUCACAGCUACUUGAAAAUUGAAGUUCUCCUUUCCCCGGCAAGCCUCUUCAGAACACUUCAUCCUGAGGGCAGACUAAUUUAAAGGCACCUCUAAGUUCAACCCCCACGCCCAAAGAGCCAUGCUCCCAUCAACUGGCCCUAAUGAGCCUGAAAUGAACCUGAUGAACCUGACUGAGACGCAGCUCUGAGGUGCUAGGAGGCUGCCUGCUGCAAAUCUACCCAAGCAAAGAGAAUGCAUUACACUGAGGGGGCCCGUGGCUGGCUUACGGAGCAUCUCUGUUGAGAAUUGAUUUCCAUCAUCCCCCCACAGCAGAAGGCUCAGGUCACAUCCCAGCCUGCCCGAGCAAGAUAACGGCAAAUAAAGUGAGAGCAAGUCGCCUGGAAAUGAACAAAAAAGAAAAAACCUGUGAUAUUGCCUCAAAUUGACCAGUUCCAUACUAAAGCUGUAGGUGUAUGUGGAUGGACAGUGCCUGCGGAGAACACUGCUUAGUUUUUUUUUCCCCCUCCUACUUAUGUAGAGCGAUGUUGUUUGUCUACAUAUUCCCAAACAUAUGAGCUCUUUCUCUCUCUCUCCGAGGCAUUCCAUCUGAUUAUGAGUACUUUGCAAUCUGCGACAGUUUGAUUGAUGCUCCACCUCCAUGAGCGGAAUUUUGAGCAGCGCCUCCUUGGAGCAGCCCGUUAUGUGUCUGCAAGCUGGUAACCUUGAAUUUAUGUUUCCACGGCAACAGAGCUGGUCAUGCAUUAUGGAUUAUCAUUGAAAUUCUACACCACCUACCUAACAUAAUAAUGGGGGCUUGAGACUUAAUCAAAUCAGCUAUUCUGUGUGAGUGUGUGCGCCUAUGAGUGAUUGUGUAUCAUUCAUAAGAUUGCUAUAUGAAUGUAUGUUUACUUGUGUUUGUGUUAGCGGCAUGUUUUUGUGUCUGUUUAAAUGUAUAUGUGCUGAUGGUCUUUCCAUAUGAUGCAAAGAUGAGGCGGAAGAUAGUGGAAACAUCUCUGACUGCUCAGCGUGUCUACGUGUGGUAAUGUCAUCUAAGUGUAUUGUGUGAAACCUGUUUAUAUUUUGUGUCAAAGAGUCUAAAACUAUGUCCUAUCUUAUAGAGAGGACCGUUUGAAAGAGUAUGUAGGGAUAUUUUGUGUUAUGUUAUCAAUGUAGACAACAGAAAUCACAUCUGGUCCAUCCAUCGUAACUUAAACUCCAUCACCUAUUCUCAGUCUUAGAUUGACAUCACAGAGAAUAAGAAUAUGUGAAUAACUCAAUUUUGACAUAAAUGUCAGAUUAUUAUUCCAAGGCUGCGAUUUAUUCACAGUAUCAUCCUCAUAGCAGUAUCAUACAGGCCUCCUCAUACUCUAUGACCUUAGGAACUUACAAACAAACUGUUUUACUUUGUCCUCAUUAUUUAUAUUUGCUACUUUUCAAAGGGCCUUUUAUGUGCAGAUUUAAUUAUUUUACUUAUGUCCCAGACCCAGAAUUUCAGUCAUUAUAAAAUAUUAUCAUUAUAUAUAGGUAUUAAUUAUCAUAACAUAUAAACAUUAAAUAAUCCAUCAUAUAGUACUGAAUAAUAAUAAAAGUAUUUUACAUCCUUAAAAAUCAUAAUACACUACAUAAUAUUGUGUGAAAGAAUUUGUUCAAAACAAAACAAAACAAUGGUCCCAAAGCAGUGCUACUAAUAAAGCGUUUUCAGAUUCAAGCUGCAAUUGUUAAUGCAAAUGAAGCAAAACAAAAUAAAACAAAAAAGAAACCAAACCAAAAUGAAACAAUUGUCCCACAGCAGUGGCAUCAAACUGGUCACAGUUUUUGCUCAUAAUAAAGCAUUUUCAGAUUCACGCUGCAAAUGUUAAUCCAAACGAAACAAAACAAAACAAACAAAAAACAAAACAAAGUUGUUGUUUUUUUUUUUUUGCUCUUAAUAAGGUCUUUUUAGGUUCAAGCUGCAAUUGUUAAUGCAAAAAAAACAACAACAACAAAUUAAACCAAAAUAAAACAAAACAGCAAAAGACAAAACAAAUCAGAAUAAAACAAAAAACAAAACAAAUCAGAACAAAACAAGACAAAAAAAACAAUGAUCCCACAGCAGUGGCAUCAAAUUGGUCACAAUUUUUGUUCCUAUUAAAGCGUUUUUAGAUUCAAGCUGCAAUUGUUAAUCCAAACAAACAAAACAAAACAAAACAGAACAAAAUAAAAUAAAACAAAACAAAACAAAAAAAGAAACCAAACCAAAACAAAUUAAACCAGAACAAAACAAAACAAAUCAGAACAAAACAAAACAAAAACCAAUGAUCCCACAGCAGUGGCAUCAAACUGGUCACAAUUUUUGCUCCUAAUAAUGUGUUUUCAGAUUCAAGCUGCAAUUGUUAAUGCAAACAAAACAAAACAAAGCAAAGCAAAGAUCCCACAUGCAGUAAAAACCUGCAUGUUUUGUAAGAUGCAAAAAAAUAAUAAUAAUAAUAAACUGCAUUAACAUUAUGAGUAAACCUCAAAGAACAUGUUAAAAUAAUAAAAAAAAUCCAUGUCAUGACUCAUUUAAUGCAAACAAAACAAAACAAAACAAAACAAAACAACAAAAAAAAAAAAAAAAAAAAAAAAAAAAAAAAAAAACAAGAACAGAACAAAACUGAACAGAACAAAACAAAACAAUUAUCCCACAGCAGUGGCAUCAAACCAGACACAAUUUUAUGCCUAAAAAUUGUUUUCAGAUUCAAACUGAAAUUGUUAAUGAAAACAAAACAAAAUGAAACAAACAAACAAAAAGCAAAACAAAACAAUGAUCCCACAGCAGUGGCAUCAAACUGGUUACAAUAUUUGCAUUUUCAGAUUCAGAUAGAACCUUAUAAUUCCAUUAAUGAAUAUGAAAUUAACUUUAUCAGCUAAGAAUGUUAUUAAACAGUAUGUAAUUUAAAAUGUGGUGGUGGGAAUCAAUCAC